CUGCCAGUAGCUAAAUUGGAUGAAAGCACCCGGCUACGAACCGGGAGAUUGGGGGUUCAAGUCCUCUCUGGCAGACCA
rnacentral:tRNA from 1 species